UACGGGGGGAGCAAGCGUUGUCCGGAUUUACUGGGCGUAAAGGGCGCGUAGGCGGUCAGCACAAGUCAGUUGUGAAAUCUCCGGGCUUAACUCGGAAAGGUCAACUGAUACUGUGCGACUAGAGUGCAGAAGGGGCAACUGGAAUUCUCGGUGUAGCGGUGAAAUGCGUAGAUAUCGAGAGGAACACCUGCGGCGAAGGCGGGUUGCUGGGCUGACACUGACGCUGAGGCGCGAAAGCCAGGGGAGCGAACGGG
rnacentral:rRNA from 1 species